rnacentral:rRNA from 1 species
UACGAAGGGGGCUAGCGUUGCUCGGAAUUACUGGGCGUAAAGGGCGCGUAGGCGGACAGUUAAGUCGGGGGUGAAAGCCCAGGGCUCAACCCUGGAACUGCCUUCGAUACUGGCUGUCUUGAGUUCGGGAGAGGUGAGUGGAACGCCGAGUGUAGAGGUGAAAUUCGUAGAUAUUCGGCAGAACACCAGUGGCGAAGGCGACUCACUGGCCCGAUACUGACGCUGAUGCGCGAAAGCGUGGGGAG